rnacentral:rRNA from 1 species
CGUUCCGGAUGAAGUCUUUGCAAGGGGUUAAAAAGUACGUGAAAUUGUUGAAAGGGAGUGCUAUGACCAGACUUGGCCCGGUGAAUCAUCCAGCGUUCUCGCUGGUGCACUUUGCCGGGCACAGGCCAGCAUCAGUUUGUCUUGGGGAAAAAGGCUUUGGGAUGUGGCUCCCUCGGGAGUGUUAUAGAACCAUUGCAUAAUACCCUGGACGGACUGAGGUUCGCGCAUCUGCAAGGAUGCUGGCGUAAUGGUCAUCAGCGACCCGUCUUGAAACA